GAAACUGCGAAUGGCUCAUUAAAUCAGUUAUAAUUUAUUUGAUAGUAACUUACUACUUGGAUAACCGUGGUAAUUCUAGAGCUAAUACAUGCAUCAAGGCCCGACUCACGAAGGGCUGUAUUUAUUAGGUUAAAACCAAUGCUAGCAAUAGCUUGAUGGUGAUUCAUAAUAACUUCUCGGAUCGUAUGACCUUGUGUCGACGACGUAUCAUUCAAAUUUCUGCCCUAUCAACUUUUGAUGGUAGGAUAGGGGCCUACCAUGGUGAUAACGGGUAACGGAGAAUUAGGGUUCGAUCCCGGAGAGGGAGCCUGAGAAAUGGCUACCACAUCCAAGGAAGGCAGCAGCGCCGCAAAUUACCCAAAUCCUGACACAGGAAGGUAGUGACAAAAAAUAACAAUGCAGACAUAUAUCAUUGCAAUUGGAAUGAGUACAAUUAAACCACUUAACGAGUAUCUAUUGGAGGGCAAGUCUGGUGCCAGCAGCGGCGGUAAUUCCAGCUCCAAUAUGGUAUAUUAAAGUUGUUUGCAGUUAAAAAGCUCGUAGUUGAAUUCGGAGGAGAGUUCCCGGUCUAGGUUUUCCUUGUUCUGGGACACUCGAAUCUUUUUUCUGGGGAAACUUGGUGUCAUUAACUUGGCGGCAAGGGGAACCAGGACGAUUACCUUGAGAGAAAUAGAGUGUUCAAAGCAGGCUUUUGCUUGAAUACGUUAGCAUGGAAUAAUAAAAUAGGACUUUGGUCUUAUUUUGUUGGUUUUAAGGACCAAUGUCAUGAUGAAUAGGGACAGUUGGGGGCAUUCGUAUUCCGAAGCUAGAGGUGAAAUUCUUGGAUUUUCGGAAGACGAACUACUGCGAAAGCAUUUGCCAAGGAUGUUCUCAUUAAUCAAGAACGAAAGUUAGGGGAUCGAAGACGAUUAGAUACCGUCGUAGUCUUAACCAUAAACGAUGCCGACUAGGGAUCAGUAAACAUCGAUUGUGAUUUUAUUGGCACCUUACGAGAGAAAUCAAAGUUUUUGGGUUCUGGGGGAGUAUGGUCGCAAGAUUGAAACUUAAAGGAAUUGACGGAAGGGCACCACCAGGAGUGGAGCCUGCGGCUUAAUUUGACUCAACACGGGAAAACUCACCAGGUCCAGACAUAGUAAGGAUUGACAGAUUGAGAGCUCUUUCAUGAUUCUAUGGGUGGUGGUGCAUGGCCGUUCUUAGUUGGUGGAGUGAUUUGUCUGGUUAAUUCCGAUAACGAACGAGACCUUAACCUGCUAAAUAGUCGACGUAUCUCUUGAUGCGCUCGACUUCUUAGAGGGACUAUCUGUGACUAACAGAUGGAAGUUUGAGGCAAUAACAGGUCUGUGAUGCCCUUAGAUGUUCGGCCGCACGCGCGCUACACUGAUAAAGUCAGCGAGUAUUGACCUUGGCCAGAAGGCCUGGGUAAUCUUUUGAAACUUUAUCGUGAUGGGGAUUGAGCAUUGCAAUUAUUGCUCAUGAACGAGGAAUUCCUAGUAAGCGCGAGUCAUCAGCUCGCGUUGAUUACGUCCCUGCCCUUUGUACACACCGCCCGUCGAUACUACCGAUUGAAUGGCUUAGUGAGAACUUUGGAUGGCAGUUUGGUCGCAAGGCCGGACAGCCAGAAAUCGUUCAAACUUAUCCAUUUAGAGGAAGUAAAAGUCGUAACAAGGUA
rnacentral:rRNA from 1 species